AUGUCGUUUACUCGGAAUAAGAGAGAUGAUAUGGAGCAUGGGUUGACAUCAUUUAGUAAGGAAGAAAAUAAGGAGGACAAGUUUGAAGAUGCCUAUGAAAUUAUCCCUGCAGCGGCAACAAUGGAUGUAGUAUCUUCUUUGGAAGAAUGCACAACAGGAUUGUAUUUAUUUCUAAAUAACAGAUUCUCUGAUGCCAUACAUCUCAUUUAUCCAUGGUCAAAAAACAGCAUAUACCAUGCUCUAAUCUAUAGCGUCCUUAUGGUUAUCAAGGCCUUUUUGACUUUUGAUCCACAGGAUAUAGAGAUUGGGAUGACUGCCACAAAGGAAGCUUUGAGAGUCUGUAACAAUUUCCGAAGGAAAUCUAGGAUGAUAAGUUUUUCUCGUCUAGUUAGCAGGCAGGGAAUAAAGGCUAUUAAAGAAGAGGAAUUGCAUGCAGAAGUCUGUUAUGCUGAGUGUUUGAUCUUGAAAUCCACUGUAAUGUUUAUACAAGAUGACAGUACACUUAGUUUUCUUAAAAGUGGGAUCAACAUUGGGUUAAGUUACCAAAUAUACAAAGACUGUCAACAAAUAUUAACACAGAUACCUGAUUACCAAAGCAAAACCUACAGACACCUGGUUGGAGGCAUAAAAUUUGGACUUGGAGUAUUCAACUUGUUAUUAUCACUUGUGCCACCAAGGACACUUAAACUACUCAAUGUUGUUGGAUAUUCUGGUGAUAGAGAAGUAGGCUUGACUUUGCUUCAUGAGAGUGCAUCUGAAUCCCAUAUAAAUAAUAUCUUUAGUGUUUUGAUUCUACUGUUUUAUUACAAUUAUCUCUCCAUAACUUUUAGUGUUGAAAAGAACCAUAGUUCUGCUGUGGAGAAUCUCUUCCUAAUCUACCUUCAGAAAUUUCCAAACUGUGCCAUACUUAAAUUUUUUCAUGGACGUUUUAGUAUGCUGAAAGGAUAUUUUAAACAUGCCCAGUUAACAUUAGAGGAGUGCAUUUUUAUUCAGGAUGAAUGGAAGCAGCUUCAUCACCUCUGUUACUGGGAGCUUAUGUGGUGCCACAUUUUCCUGCUGGAAUGGAAACAGGCUUACCACUAUGCUCAUGUGCUGGUUCAAAACAGCAGGUGGUCCAAGUCAGUAUAUUCUUUCGCUAAAGCUUCCCUACUGGCCGUGCUUCCUCCUGAUUUUGCGAAAUCAGUAAGUGAGGACAUGAGCUCUCUCUUCCUAAGCGUGGAUAGCCUGAGAAUCAGAAUUUUAGGAACUUCUGUGCCGAUAGAAAAGUUUGUUGCUGAGAAGGGUCAGCGCUAUGCGACAACUGCAGGCUGGUUUACAGCACAGCCCAUUCUGGAAUUUAUGUAUGCCUGGAGUGGUUUCCGAGUCAUAGGCAAAAAACUAGAGCUUAUUUCAACCUGGCUAUCAAUCAUUGACAAAGGAGAACAACUUUUACAAGAAACUCCAAAUAAAGAGUAUGUCAUAGAUGACAUAAGUUUAUUAAAUUUACUGAAAGGUCUGUGUCUGAAAUACUUAGGCAAAUAUUCAAUGGCUGAGUACUGCUUUAGUCAUGUCAUUCAAAAGGAGAAAUUGUUAAAAUAUGACCACUAUUUGGUGCCGUAUUCUUACUAUGAACUGGGAAUUCUAUACUAUCUAAAAGGAGAUUAUGCCAGUGCAAUAAAAACCCUAGAAAACAUAAAAAAUUACAAAGACUAUUCCAUGGAAGCCCGAUUACAGUUUAGGGCUCACAUAGCCCUUGAACAAAUAGCUAAAGAAAAAGUGAUUUAA
rnacentral:lncRNA from 1 species